rnacentral:rRNA from 1 species
UCCGUGCCAGCAGCCGCGGUAAUACGGAGGGUGCGAGCGUUAAUCGGAAUUACUGGGCGUAAAGCGCAUGCAGGCGGCCUGUUAAGUCAGAUGUGAAAGCCCCGGGGCUUAACCUCGGAAUUGCAUUUGGAACUGGCAGGCUAGAGUCUUGUAGAGGGGGUAGAAUUUCAGGUGUAGCGGUGAAAUGCGUAGAGAUCUGAAGGAAUACCAGUGGCGAAGGCGGCCCCCUGGACAAAGACUGACGCUCAGAUCGCGAAAGCGUGGGGAGCAAACAGGAUUAGAUACCCCUGGUAG